rnacentral:sRNA from 1 species
UUAAUGUGAUAUUGAUCUGAUGCAUUUGUUACCUCAUUCAUUGCCAAGGUUCAUUCAGUUGGUCUAACAGUCAGUCAGAUAUCCUUUUAUCCUCAACACACAUCAUGUGUCUCUCCUAAAGGUGAAGGCUCCUUGGAAAAGGAUGGCCUUCCCUAUACAGGAAGAUGAUUCUUAAGUCAAGAAAACAUGAAUAUGAGUGUUGUGCCACUAGAGUGUCCAGACAAGUUCUCAAAAGAAACAAUAAACCAAAAGCAAGGAGAAGGGACAUAGGUGG